AACGAACGCUGGCGGCAGGCUUAACACAUGCAAGUCGAGCGCCCCGCAAGGGGAGCGGCAGACGGGUGAGUAACGCGUGGGAAUCUACCCAUCUCUACGGAAUAACGCAUGGAAACGUGUGCUAAUACCGUAUACGUCCUUCGGGAGAAAGAUUUAUCGGAGAUGGAUGAGCCCGCGUCGGAUUAGCUAGUUGGUGGGGUAAAGGCCUACCAAGGCGACGAUCCAUAGCUGGUCUGAGAGGAUGAUCAGCCACACUGGGACUGAGACACGGCCCAGACUCCUACGGGAGGCAGCAGUGGGGAAUAUUGGACAAUGGGCGCAAGCCUGAUCCAGCCAUGCCGCGUGAGUGAUGAAGGCCCUAGGGUUGUAAAGCUCUUUCACCGGUGAAGAUAAUGACGGUAACCGGAGGAGAAGCCCCGGCUAACUUCGUGCCAGCCGCCGCGGUAAGAC
rnacentral:rRNA from 1 species